UUGUGACGUGGUGCGCUGCCGGGGUUGUCCCCCUGGGUCCACGCUCCGUGCCGUGCCGGGUGACUGCUGCAGAUGCGUUCUCGACUGCAGGGCCGUGUUCUGCGCCCCGUGUCGUAGGGGAACGAUCCUGCGCCAGACUCCCGGAAACUGCUGUGAGUGCGUGAGGGCGAACAUAGGUUAAGGCAACGAUGGCGCCUUUCCCAAAAGACCGGGACGAAGAAAUGUUUGCCGAGGCCAGCUGCAUACGGCGCAGUGCUUGUGUUUCUUGAGUAUGAGCAAAUAAAGACACUUAUGUGAGUUUUAUCAA
rnacentral:lncRNA from 1 species